UUUAUGUAGCUUUCAAGUCAAAUCAUUAAAAAUGACUUUGAGAGUUCUCCAUUAAAUUAUCUUCUUUUUGAGAUGCUUCAGUGAGAACAGUUAAAAGUUGAAAGUUGAAGUUAGAAGCUUUGGACUUGUGACUCUUCUCCUUCACCACCUAGCUCUGCUAUUUUCAGUGUACCAUUUACAAUCUCUGAAUCUCAGCUUCACCAUCUGUUAAAAAUUGAAAAGGAGGAAUAUUUCUGUUUACCUAGUAGAGAUAACAUCUAUAAAGAUAGCUUCUAAACUAUAUGGCACUAUGAUCAUACAUGUUCACAAAAAUCCAUACUGUUUCUUCUUCAUGUAGCUGGACUACAUUUCUUGCCUCUGUUUCUAUGAUGUAGAACCAUCUGAAAAAUAUUCACUAGUAAAUUAGGAGUAGAACUGCUGUGUGUUAUUUCUGAGCCAAGGAUUUUAGAAAAGAAAUAUGCUCCUUCCAUUCUUUUCCCCUAAUUUUUGCAUCUAGAUGUAGGUAAUUAUUGGAUGUCAAUGAGUGGUGAAGCAAUAAGAUUAAAGAAUGCUAGGCCCUUGAAUUACUGUGUGGAGGAGAGCUGCCUGUCACCAAGAGUAUUCUCUUUGAAAUAUUAUGUAAGCGAAGGAUAAACUUCAUUUAUGUUUGAGCAGUUAUAUAGUCUUGAAUCUAUUUGCUACUGUAGCCUGUCCUGUCCAAAUGAAUUUGGGUGCUUUACAACCAUAAGAUGCUGUUGUUUGUAUGAUCAUGUCACAUUAUCGUCAAUCAUCACUACCCCAUGUGAUGUACUUGGUGAAGGAGGCUGUCAAUAGAAGAGGAGCCAGGUUUGAGUUCUGUACUACAGACUCAUUAACAUGUUUCUGUCACAAGUCUGUGACAAUGUUGAUUUAUUUAAUUAAAUUUAAAAACCUAUUGUGAGUGUCCAGGGUCACUGCUAACUGAAACUUCAUUUUUUGUAAGAGUUAGAAAAAGGUGCUUCUCCUAGAGGAGGCAGGGCUUUCCUGUUGAAGGAAGUGAAAGAAUGAGGCAAUCCCCCUUGGCAGAUUCAGGGUAGAUUGAUUAGAAAAAAUCUUCCCCUGUGUGGUGAUACAACCAACCUUACAUGGCUUGACAGACAGAGGAUGGGCUAUGAAUGCUUUCAUAUUCAGAAAAGAAGGAGCAUAGGAACACAUAUUCAGAAAAAAAGAGCAUAAGAACAUUCCAUUUAGAUGGCAGAAUGUGGGCCAAAAAAUAUUAAGGUGGCAAAAUGCACAGCUAAUUAUCUGGUUGACCUAGGGCAUGAGGAUGGAGAGAGACGAGAAAAAAAGAUAGGUUGAAACCUUAUCAUGAAAUUAUUGAAUGUCAUCAUGGGUAGUUUAGAUAUUAUUUUGGGCAAGGAGUAUCCAUGGUAGGAUUCUAACAGGGAUGUUCUAUAAACUGUAUGAAAGGGGUUUUGAUGGGAGUAGCCUGGACGCACAAAGGGUUAUUGGAAUUAUUUGGGCAAGGACUAAAGAGAAUCUAAGUUAAGACAAUUACAGUAUGAAGAGAAAGAAGAUGGAUUUUGGAACAAGACUUGAAUACUUUCAGAUGUGAGAGAGAAGAGAAUGUGGAAAUAAAAAUUAAGACUAAGAUGUAGGGUCUGGGUACAUAGAAGAAAGUGAUAUUCUCAAUAAAGAUUGGGAUGUCAUGAAAAGGCACACAUUUUUAUAGAAGAUGAGUUCAGUUUUUAACUACUUGAGUUUGAUUAGACCUGUAUAGACACAAGUUAUACAUCCUGUGUCCAUUUUUAGGUGGUAAAUUUCAAACACUUAAAAGGUUCUCAUUCUAUUCCAGGCAUUAAUAAUAUUAAAUAUAUUAGCCUAAUAAAUAUUCAAGCAACCAUAAGAUAGUAAGAUUAUCCUCAUUUACAGGUAGUUGAUAUGUUUGAAGUUACACAGUUAGAAAGUGGCAGAAUGAAGAUUUUAACUCAGGAAUUAGACUCAAAAAUUCACGUUUUGAACUUGCAUGGUAUGAGGCUUCUUGUAAACUCACUUAGGGAAAGAAAACUUCAACAACCAACAAAGAAAGUAGAGUGUAGAUUGUGGAGAUUUAGGAUAUUUUAAGUAAUUUUUACAAAUCCCGAUUCUUCUAGUGGUUUUGUUUCUCCUUAGUUGAGCAUUCUGCAUCUUUGGAAGCUUCUAUAUCAAUAGGUACUAUCUAAUAGUAAUGCUUUUUCAGACAGAAAUAUGUUUCAGGAAAAAUUACACAAAAUUAUAUGGGAAUGAGAAAAAAACUGGGAUCUGUUAUUAGUUUCUGUCAUAGACAGAGGAGAUUUUCAAUCAUAAUAAUAUGUUAGUGCCCUGUGAAGAAAGCUAAAAUAGUUUGUCAGCCUGGGCCCUCACACCCAGCCUUGUUCUGUAUGGUUGGUCUUUAGCCAGAGCAAAUCCUCCCAAAUGACAGCUGUCAACUGUCACAGGUUACAGAUUAAAGUGAUAAACUACUCAGAAUAGUGCAUAAAAAUACUACAAACUCAGAGACACUAAGCAGAACCCUUUAUAACUAGAUUCUGAGCACUAAGAGUAGAUUUCCACUAUUCAUACCCAUUUCUUGGGACAAUUUUGACUUCACAGUAGCAUGAACAACUGGAAAUAGUUUCUUUUAUAUAUAUAUUUUUUAUUAUACUUUAAGUUCUAGGGUACAUAUGCACAACAUGCAGGUUUGUUACAUAUGUAUACAUGUGCCAUGUAGGUGUGCUGCACCCAUUAACUCAUCAUUUACAUUAGGUAUAUCUCCUAAUGCUAUCCCUCCCCCUUCCCUCAACCCCACAACAGGCCCCGGUGUGUGACGUUCCCCUUCCUAUGUCCAAGUGUUCUCCUUGUUCAAUUCCCACCUAUGAGUGAGAACAUACAUGGAAAUAGUUUCUUAAUGCUACUUUUCAGUUCAUCUGGUCCUUUUAAUUGAAGUCUCUGCCCUUCUAUACCAAAUUCAGAGAUAAGAUGUUGCUAUGGUCUGAAUGUCUGUGUUCUUCUAAGAUUCAUUUGUUGAAAUCUAACCCUGAACGUGUUGAUAUUAAGAGGUGGGGCCUUUGGGAGGUGAUUAGGUCAUGAAGGCAGAACCCUUGUGAAUGGGACUAGUGCCCUUAUAAAACAGGCCUGAGAAAGUUUGUUUGCCCCUUUGCUCUUUUGCCAUAUAAAUAUGCAUAGUAGGUGCCAUAUAUGAGAAAUAGGCACUCACCAGACACUGAAUCUGACUAUGAUUUGAUCUUGGACAUUCCAGCCUCCAGAACUGUCUCACAUGAGAUGGCAAAGAGGUCAAGACAAAAAUUCUGCAUUUGGGAAAAGAAUAACACAUGGGCUUCAUCCUACAGAGAGGUGGAGUCAGAUUUGAGAGGCAGAAGAAAGUUUCAGAGCAAGAUCAGUUGGUUAAAUACGAGGCACCAAGUGACCACGCAUAUCACACUGCUGGUUUCUUUUGGACCUACCAAGCUUACCGUCAGACAGGUCGAACAGAAAUUCACCGUGAAUUGGAAAUGGUACAUCUGAGAUCAAGCCCAAGCAGGAGCAGAAGGUACAAGUAAGUUGCAUGAACAAUUUGUCUCAAUUCACAUGACACCCAUUACUGUUGCACCAAUACCUUUCUUGAGCUCAUAUGUAAGGCCAUAUGGAGGACAUGUUUGAUCAAUAGAAAAAGGACAAAAAAAGUCUAAGUUUAGUCUAUGGAUGGGAUAGCUUGGUAUCAGGGUGCAAGCCAAGUGAUUGGCAGUUUCUGUCCUGCCACAAUCAUGGGUCGCUUAGACAGACAGUGGAAAGGAAGCAUCUUCUCAAUGGGUGUCUUGUGAUUACCCCACCAAAGUGAAAUGUAGACCUGAUUCAGAAUUAGGUUUGAAUGUAGAAACUGGUGAAGUAAUACACAUGGAAAGUGUGUGAAAUUUUUAUUAUUCAAAUAAUGAAGCUUUCUAGGGAGAGCAGGAAAAACUUCCAAGCAGGUCUGAAAAUGGAUUGAGAAAGCAGGGACUGCAACAAGGAUUCUUGCAUGUAGACCAGGUCUUACAUGGUUUGAACUUCCCACCAGCACAAGGGAAGCACCAUUUGGAUUUGUUCUUCAGCCUGCCCAGGUGUGAGGUGAAAGGGGAAGUGGGAGUGGUGAUACUUAAAGGAUGUCAGCAGUAGAACAUCAAAAAUGGUAUCAGCCUCUUUAUUACAGAGUGGGAGAUAAGUGGUACAUUUGAUUAUCUACUUUGUGUGAAAAAAUAAAUGCCCUAUAAUGGUGAGGCAAUGGCCAGUGGCCUUGCCAGAUGUUCAAGGUUGACACAGAAGGAAAAGGAUUUGAAAAUUGGACAAGGAAGAAGAGGUAUAAACAUGUGAAUAGAUACACGGAAGUAGACAUGACUGGGAAUUUUUUUGUACAAACAUGAACAACUCCCCACCAAAACAAAAACAGAAACAAAUUACAAAACAAUACAAAAAGAUAACCACAGAAAAGACACAGAACAACCAGGUAAACAAAACAAGCCAUCUAAUUGACAUAGCCUUGGUCACUGGUCACACUGAAACUGCCUCAAUGGAUAAAUGAAUUGAGUCGCUAUGGUAGUAGAGAUGAAAGUACACAUGAGCCCAACAGUAUGACAUCCUACUAACCAAGGUUGAUCUAGCUGCUGACCCUGAAUGUCCAACAGAGACCAAUACUGAGUCUCGAAAAUGUCAAUAUUUUUUGAGGUGACUAACCAGCCACUUGGUAGCAAGUCAACUGCAUUGAGCCCAUUUUAUCCUACAGGAAGGGCGAGCAGUUCAUUCUUAAAAUGAUAGAAGGCUAUUUUCAGCAUAGGGUUGCCUUUCCUGCCUGUACAGCCUUACCAUGUACCACUAUUCUAAUACAGAGGGACAAAAAUCUCACACAGUAUAGCAUUUAACUGAACAUCAACAUAGCAAAAGAGGUACAGGAGUGGGCCCAGGGCAAAAAGAUCCAUUGGCCAUGUCACAUACUAUGUAAUUCAGAAGCAGUAGGUCUUUUACAGUCUUGGUGCAGACUACUGAAGACACAGCCAGAGGCAAUGUUCUUUAAGGAUGUGGUGUAGUUUUUCAUGAUGCAGCACAUGUAUUAGAUCAGAUUACCCAUUAUGAGCAUGUCUAGAUGGUGCUGUGUCACUGCUAGGAAGAACAAUGGGUCUAGGAUUUAAGAGAUAGAAGCAGCAGUGGCCCCUAUAACAACUACUUCCAAUGACCUACUUGGGGACUUCAUGUUUUCCAUUCCUGCAAUUCUGGACUUUUUAGAAUUAGAGUUCCUGGUCCUCAAACAGGGCAUAUUCUUGCCAGAGGACACAAGAAGGAUCUCAUUAAUCUACAAGCUAUAGCAGCUUCCAGAACUCUUUGGACUUUUCGCAUCCAGAGAUCAGAAGAUGAGGAGUCACCACCUUGCCAGGCAUAAUUAACCCUGAUCAGCAAGAUAAGGAGGGCUGCUUUUACACAAUGAGGGCAGACACAAGCACAGGCAUAUACCAUAGAGUGACACUUCAGUGAAUGAUGGACCACAUAUAUUAGAGUAGUCUCACAAGCCUAUAAUGGAGCUGAAAAAUUCCUAUUACUUAGUGACAUCAUAGAUGUUGUAAGGCAUUAUGUUUCAUGAGUGAUGCUAGUAUUAACAAAUAUGCUGCAUUCCCAAUUGUAAAAAGCCUAGCAGAUACAAUUACGUAUACAGUUCAUAAUACUUGACAAUGAUAUUAAAUGACUAUUUUACUGAUUUGUGUAUUAUACUAUAUUUUUAACAUUAUUUUAGGGUGUACUUUUUCUACUUAUAUUUAAAAACUUAACUGUAAAAUAGCCUCAGGAAGGUCCUUCAGGAGAUAUUCGACAAGAAGAUAUUGUUAUCAUGAGAUGACAGUUCCAUGUGUGUUAUUGCACCUUGAAGAUGGAAAAGAUGUGGAGGUGGAAGAUAGUACUAUUAUUGAUCCUGAACAUGUGUAUACCUAGGCUAAUGUGUGUGUUUGUGUGUUAUUUUUAACAAAAAUUUCAAAAGUAAAAUAAAAAAUUCAAAAAUAGAAAAAAUACUUAGAGAAUAAGGAUAUAAGGAAAUAAAAUAGUUUUGUACAGCUUUAUAAUACGUUUGUGUUUUACACUAAGGGUUAUUAAAAAGUCAAAAAAUUAAAAACAAAUUUAAAUGUUUAUAAAGUCAAAACAUUACAGUAAGUUAAGGUUAAUUUAUUAUUGAAAAAGAAAACUUUUUAAAUAAAUUUAGUGUAGCCUAAGUCUAUAGUGUUCGUAAAGCCUACAGUAGUGUAUAGUAAUGUCCUAGGCCUUCACCUUCACUCACCACUCCCUCACAGAGUCAUCCAGAGCAAUUCUCACUCCUGCAAGCUGGGUAAGUAUCAUAUAAACGGUAAGUGCCCUAUACAGGUACACUUAAAAAAAAAUCUUUUAUAUCAUAUUGUUACUAUACUUUUUUUAUGUUCACAUAUUUUACAUAUACAAAACCACUGUAUUACAAUUGCCUGCAGCAUUCAGUAGAGUAACAUGCUAUACAGGUUUAGCCUAGGACCAAUAGGCUAUACCAUAUAGCCCAGGUGUGUAGUAGCUUAUACCUCUAGGUUUGUGUGAAUACAUUCUAUGAUAUUCAUAUAACAAAGAAAUUGCCUAAUAACACAUUUCUCAGAAUGUGUCCCCAUCAUUAAGCAUUGCAUGACUAUAUAUGUAGAAUCCACAUGAUACAAGAGGGUACUUUUUGGUACUCACUUGCCCUGUUGUAAUUAUAAAUAAACAGAUCAAGGGCUCAGUCCUCUGAGGAUUGAAGGUUUAUAUAAGUGUACCAGAAUGACCACUAAAACCUGCUAAGUUGAUGGCUGAAGGUGAAGGAAUUUUAGAAUUGAUAGUAAAGGAGAGGAAGAAUGAGUACUAGCUGUGGCCCUUAGACCAACUACAGCAGAGGGUUGUAGUUUGUCUCACUGCCCUUCCUCAUCUAAGUUUCCGUUCAGGAGCUGAGAACCAUGUAUUGGAGAAGGUCCUUGCCCAAUAGAAAUAGCAAAUUAGAUCUUCCCAGGGCAAAGGGUAAACUCUAUGACCAUGGAGUUGUGUCUUUUAGAAUUCCCUUUAAGAUAAGUUGCUGUGAAAGCAUAGUUGAUUGAUAGUCUAUAGCAGCCAUGGCUUCAAAUCCACCCUGGCACUUAUCCCAAACUGUGCUUUUUCUGGGCUUCUCUAAGAUGAUGACUGGGCAUAGCAGUGGUGUUAUAUCUAGACUUUUCUUGUAUGACCCUUUAAUGGGCAACUUUUGCUUGGGAACUCUCCAUUGAUCUGGAAGUCUCAGCACUGCAUUGCAAUUUGAACCUUUUCGCAUUUAAUCUUCUUUCCUUUCCCUUCUUCACUCAUAGACUUCAAACCCACAGUAUGGUGUGAUCAGAAGAGAUCAGUAAAGAAAACUACUAAGAAAACUGGUUGAUAACUCAAACCCAUAUUAUUUGUGAAGCUGAGCUAGAGUUGAGUGAUGCUAACUCAUAUCUCCAUCAAUGUUUUAGUUGGUUUAUAGUUGAUGUCCUGGGAUUUUCUGGAGCUGUAAUCAAACACCGGAAACAGUACUUGGAUUUUGAAUGGAUGUGUUGGGGUAGAAAGUACCUCAGGAGACAUUCUUAGAGGGAAUUAAUCUGAAGAAAACUCUGAUUCCAAAAUGGAGGUCAUGGAAAAGUACUAACAAUCUUUUGUUGAGUUUACAUUGCAUCGGAAAAUGUCCCAUGUGAAAAUUUUAAAAUAUUUUGCACAGCUAUGAAAUGAUGAGAACUUCAAUACUGAAUUUACUGCUGUGCCCAACUUUUCCUAUUGCCUACACCUAAAUAUUGAAUUCAAAAUAUAAAAAUCCUAAACCACAAAAUAUAUGUAAAGAGUUCCCUUUGUAGUACUGAUUUCUCCAAGAUUAUUGCUACUUUUAAAAAUAUCAACACUUUUGUUUAAAAUUAAUUAAUUUUCUUGUUGCUGUAUUCAUGGGCUUAGCCUGGCUGUUGGACAAUCCAGAAUUGCUGUGUGCUGGUGAAGACUGAAACCACAUCAGUAAGAGAAACUAUUAGCACAUUUCUGGAGAAUGAUCACAUAGGCUUCUGACAUUGAGAUGGACCUGCACCUGGGUCCAGAGCUGAGCUACACUAGGAGAGUCCUCAGGCAUCUGCACCUCGUCCUUCUGCACGGCCCAUAUUUCCCUGAUUUUUCCAGGGUAUCAGAAGGUACAACAAUGGUCUGUUGCCCUGGAAACACUGCACCGUGGCCAGCCACAGGACUUUCUUGGCUUGCACUGGGGAGGUGGACAAGCCCUACUUGACUGCUGUCCUUAUUAAAUACAGGAGGAGAAAAUAGUAACCAUUAAGUGCUUUACAAAAUGCCCUACUGUUUAUACCCAUGUCUGUCCUCCUAGUUGCCUUUAAGGCCCAGGGUUGGGACAAAGUCUAUCUUUAUUUUAUGCAUUACUGACAGACUAAAGAGAGGGCAAGGAGUGUGCUGGAAAGGACACUGGAUUAAAAGUCAUAAGAUUUGGUUUUAGCCACAAACCAGUUGUGUAACCUUUAGCAAGUUACAUAAAUUAAGCAGUUCUCAGUGUUUUCAUGUGAAAAAAAAAAACGACCUGGUGAUCCUUUGGUUUCCUUAUGUCUGUACAAAAGUAUACAGUUCUGUGUUUCUAAGUGGUGGAAGUGGGGUCAGAUGGAGUGACAGAACGUCCCUUACUAACACAUGUAUCAUUUUCAGGGAAAGGUUAGGCUGUGUUCAUGUCAUGCUAAAAUUAAAAUUUCAUCCAAUUUCCUGGCGUUUUAAUUUCAUGAAGGGCAGAAUUGGUGCUCCCAUGUAUAUAGAUAGAUGAGUUGUGGUAGGUCAGUCUGGAAAAAUACUCUGCUUCCAUCUGACAGUGGCCAUAAGAGAUGGGGAAACAGAGGCCAGUCAGUUCAUCUCGUGUCAGACUUGAAAGACCGCUUGUGCAUUUAUGCUUAAAAGAGCUGACUCAGGAGUGCUGUGACAGCCUUUAACUUAGAAUUCUCUUAUUUUUCUGGAUUUCUGUCUCCUUCUUAAUGGUGUUUUAAUGCAGUUUUUGUGUUCAAUUAUAAUAGUGUUGCUAAAUACAGUAGGUCUGAUUCCACAGAAGAAGAAUAGUUUUUUCAAAAUCAGCAUUUUCCUGCUGAUUUGCCAGCUGUUUCAAUAAAUACUCAUCUCCCAACUUCAAACGAGUAUAUUGCACUCUUACUAAAUAUAAAUGUCAUCCACAGCUACUGUAUUCUGGCUUUUGAGUUCUCCACAAAAUCUGCACUAUGAGGGACUCCUUUCUCAACUAUGUGCAGGUGAUUUUGCUGACUCAGGUGUCCUGAAGAGUAGUCGGUGUUUGUUUUUCUAGUCAUUGCUUCCCAAUGUAAAUGUCUAAGUAUAGGCAGGUGAAUUAGAACCUUCUCCUAUGGUUUUGUCAUCUCUACUAGUUCUAUCUCUGAACCACAAAAAAUGAUUAGUCAGGGAAGCCUAAAAUUAUAAUAAUAAUAUCGUAUCUAUUUUAUAACUGUUUUUUAAAAUGACUUUGACCUGCCUGAUGAGAUAGGAUAAAAUACGAAAUAGGCUGCAAGCAUAAUUGUUUUUCUUUUGACAUAAUAGAAAAGUAAGAUAUAUGAUUUCAGUAUAAGGAGCAGGCAUUGUUAAAAUAAACUAAACUGAUAGCAUGUAUUAUAUGCAAUAUAAACUUUGUACUGUUGUACACUAAUAUAGUAAUAACCCUGGCUAAGGACCAGCAGGAACAUAAGACUAUAUUUUCAGCCACACAUUGUUUUUCUCACAGUCCUCAUUGAAUUGUAUGUGUGCAUUUUUCUUAUUUUUAAUCAGCAUUACAAGAAAUACAAGUAAUUAAGCCUUUCAAUAUCUCCUAACAAUAGUAAAAAGGCGGCUAUAGUAAUUGCCGUAAGCAUAUUUGUUGGUGUUUGUAUUUAGAAAAAUACUAGUUGGUCUUUUAUUUGACAGAAACUGAAGCUGGAGAAUUGUUACAGAAACAAAUGCAAUUCAGAAACAAAGUUGCUUCACUUAAAUUUUUUUUGUUGCAAUUCUACACUUUUGAGUAAACAUUUCUAUCCAAAAGACCAGUCAGGUUAAUUAAAGGAGAGUAGGAAUUGCUGGGUUCUUGGGUACUAGCCCCCACUGUUUGAGCCUUGGAUUGAUAACAACUCUGUGGUAACUAUGUGUCCACCACCACCAGGCUGACAGUUUUCCAAUCAAACUGUUUUUACCAUAUCCUUAGACAAUGAGGAAAAUGUGAGGCCCUAAGGUACUGAGCCAAUGGUACUGCACUAGCAGACACGUGGGUGGCCAAGAGCAAAUGGCCAGAAAACACUCUUACUUGGUAACAUGUUGUUUUCACAAAAUGACAUUAGUAGCCCACCCUGAAUUCUUGAUCCACAGACUAUCUACACAUAAAAACCAAGUUGAGAGGGCAAGUAGCCUGAAUGCAAACAACCAGGUAUUGACUAGAUUUGGCCACUUUUGGUCAUUGGUUUUUGUCAAAAUAACUGACCAUUUAAAUGGAUUCAGUCAUUUUCAAAAUCAGUUUGUGGAUGCAGACAGAGCCACAGUCUAACAUAGUUGACAUUCUUUUCCUUGCAGCUGGAAUUAGAAAUUAGACACUUUUUUAGACUCUCAUCCAUUCAUAGCCCAUUUUCUUUGCAUACUUUAUGGUUUAAGAUUUCUGAAAUAAAUUUUAUAUGCAAAGUUUGAUUUAAAAUGUUUUAAAUCAAUGUAAAUGGAAUUGUUUACAGUAUUUUCUACAACUUUUAUCAGAUGAUCAUCAUACUUACAUUAAAGCAUACACAUUUAGAAACAUUCUUCGGUUUAAUAUGAGGUUUAUAGAUAAAACUAGUUUAGUAUAAUUGUUACACCUUAUCUGGAAGUUUUGGUGUUAUGAUUUGCAAUUUAAAGAAGAGUUAUCUUUCUGAUUGUUUAAAAAAAUCCUCAUUAGAAAUUUUGAAAUGACUCUACUUUUUAACACUUUUGGAUUUAUUUAUUUUUUAUUUUUAUUUACUCCUUCCACUGGAAUGUAAGCUCUUUGAGGUGGGGGAUUUGUCUAUGUUUUUCAUAGUUAUACACUGACUGCUUAGAGUAGUGCUUGUUCUGCAGCAUGCUUCCCUCAAAUACGUAUUAUAUUCAGACGUUUCUAAAAUUGUAUUAUGUGCAUAACGGGUGCCAAAUGCCACGGCAGAUUCUAGGGUUGACCACCAAGAAAAAUAUAGGCUUUCUGUACAAAAGAUUCUGACAAUCAAUAAAAAGAGAGAUAAGUGAAAAGAUUACUACAAUAUAUUAUACUUUGUUAAGUGUAAAUAUGGAAAGGCGUACAUGGAAACACAAAGAAGUCUUCCAAAAACAAAAAUAGGAGAAUUAUGGAAAAUGACCCAUAGUAAGUGAUGUCUUGGGUAAGAUUUAAGACGAAGAAGAAUUGAACAAAUGAAGGGGCAACAGAACAAUGGCUGGAGGAGUAUCCAGGCAACUAACUCUUGAAAGGCCAUGUAAACUCAGUUUUUACAAAUAGACUUUAAUUUAAAGGUAACAAAUUCAGUAAAAAUUGGUUUAUAGGAAUAUGUCAUAGAAGAGGUGUGUUUUAGAAAGAUUUUUGAUUAUCGUGUGGACAAUGGGUGGGAAAAACACUGAAAGAAUCCAGUAGGAAAUAAAGCAAAUUUAAAAUAAGACAAUGACUUUGCAGCUGAAGAAACUUAAAUGGAUUUGAGAAAUAUUUAAGAAGCAAGAUGAAAAGCAUUAAGAGUCUUAUGGGUUUAGGGGAUGGGGAAGAAAGAGCAAGUAGAGCUAAGGGUAAUUCCCAGUAUAUGGCUUAGAAAUUUGGAUGGAUCAUGGUGUCAUGAAAUAAGAUAAAAAAUACAGGACAAGUUGUUUAUGGGGGUUGGUGUUUGGGAAGACUCAUAAAAUUAAUUAGGAACAUAUUUAACUUGAGAUUCUAGGGUCACUCUAAAGUGGAAGUGCCCAGUAGAAAAUGAAAUACAUGUAUAUGGUGCUAAGGAGAGUGAUGCAGGAUGAGAGAAGGCACUUGGAAGUCAUUAACACAGAGAUGGAAGGAAGGUCAUCAGGGAGAAGGAGAACAUGAGAAGAGGGCUGAGGAUGGAAUCCUGAAGAGCACCAAAACAUGAAGAACAACUGUGAAAAAGAAGAAAACCAAGACAGCAACUAAUAAAUCCUAUGGAAAAGAACAAAGCAGAAGCCAAAAAUAUGCAAAGUAUAAAUGUUCAAAGUUCCAGAAUGUCAACUCACUCCAACUUCUUAAAUGGAAUGUCAAUGGAUCUGGGCAUCAAAUGAGAUCCUUCCCAACUCUGUCAGUAAAAUAAACCAGGAGAUGGAGAAGAUGUGAACAGUACAAAUGGAAAUUGAAAGGAACUCUCAAACUCAAAACAUAUCUUUUGAAGCUAUCAAUUAUUCAUAUGAGAAGAGAAGUUAUUUAUUGGAGGAAAAGAAAACUGUUUUGCUACUGUUUGGAAGGCAGAUGGAAAUGUUGGGAAUAUCAAUGCCAGCAAAUCUCACAUGUGUUACAUCAACGAACUUGAACAGUAGUGGUAGGUGCUUUACAAUAGUCUAAAUCAUCCUGUUUGCAUCAUCAACAUAUCAUGACCUCUUUUACAUUGAAAUUGUUCUUGCCUAAGCAUCCUACACUAGUGAAAGUGUUGAAAAAUAACAAAGAUAAAUGCAAUCUUAUCAUCAAUAUUAGCCCUUCCUGUGACUAUUAAUGAUUUUUUCUGUGUGUGUGCAUGGAAGCUUGUUAAAAUAAUUGUGUAUUCGAUUUCAAUGAGUCUUCAUUUAAGGGAGGUAGAAUGUGUGUUUAUUAUAUUAUUAUUAUUAUUCCCAAACAUAACUUAUUUUGUGGACAUUUGCUCCCACUGCUUAUGUUACUUUAGACAGUUUCUGAAGUUGCCGUGACUCAUAGCAAAAUACAGCAGGAGGUGGUUCCUGUGAGAUAAUAAUUAGAGCAUGUUACUACAAACAACUUAAGCACACAAGUAGACAAACUAAAUUUUUAACUUUUAAAAGGCAGAAAACUUCCUUCAUUAUUCCAGAGAAAAAGUUAUAAGGCUACUAUUAUAUGAGUUGUUAUAUUUAAUUUUGGCUUGUGUAGCAGUCUCUGCACCAUGAAAUUUCUGUUUAGCUUAUGAGAGAUAAAUCACUAUUUACAAUUUCCAUCAUUUGAAACAUUUAUUCUUUUGUAUUCAUUUUCUUCUUACCAUGUUAAAAUCCACUAUUUAUACAUGUUAAAAUAGAAACAUCACUCUCUAUUUGCCAUAAAAAAGAAAUAAUGGCUUACAUUAGUGAUCAAACUAUAACUAUUUGAAUUGUAAACUAUAUAUGAAAAUGGACUAGAAGAUUAAUCUUUCAGUGAAUGAUGCCCAGUCAAUAUUAAGUGUACCAUGGCAACUAGUCCAAACUGAUCAUCCCAUUGCAUAAAAUGACUUUUACCUUUAAACAAAUAUUUGAGGUAUAAUUUGCCUUUGUAUACCACAAUACUAUCUUUACAAAAAAGCUCUGAACAGAACUGUAGAUACUAUUAUUUGUUCCAAAUGUGAAAGAUAAAAUGUAUCAUGUCAUCUAUCACAUAUUGAUUUAAAGACAUCUACAGUAUGUUUCUGGAAAAUAUUCUACACACUGACAAGAAUAAGCAAUGAACACCUAUGUUUAAGGAAAUAAAGACAUCAAAGAGAUAACUAGAAUCCAUUUGAAUUUAACAAAACUUCAAUUUUCAGGGCAUACCAAAUGAAUCAGCUUGAUUACCUACAACACUCCAGGCAGUCACAUACCCCUGGCCUAAAAAGGAGCAUCUGCUUUGGACCCCACUCCUGUUUUGCUUCUUUAUCUGUUUCAAUGUUAACAUGAAUUUGGGGGGAUUUCUGGCUACUCUAAUGAAAAGCAAAGGAUCAAAAACACAUCUUGGAACAAACUGUGAUGAAGUGUUCUCUAGUCUUGUUUGGUCAUGUCUACACUUUUGUCUUCUGCAUUCCUAAGUCCAGAUUAGCUCUGCAGUGUGUGCGUGUGUGUGUGCAUGCACACGCAUCCGUGUGUACACAAGCUCAUGUAGACCAGCAUACAUUAAAAGAAUAAGGAGAAGUGGGACAAGAAAACUUUAUCGUGGAGUGUACAGCCUCAAGCUCAUGGAUUUGUGAAUCCAAUGUUACCCAGGUCCUUGAAAUGGGAAUUUUCCACACGUAAGUACCCUUUCACAGUGCAUCAAAUGUUGGUGCAUCAGAGUAAGCUUGCAGGUUUGGCUUUUGAUAUAAGAAAAAUUCAAAACUUAAAUAUUCUGGCAAAGGUAAGGCAAAGCCUCCCCUUUAUUUCUUCUCAAAGAUAUUCUUUAAAGCCUGCUUUUGUGGCUGAAGUUUUGUUCAAUAUUUUACAAUUAAUUAUUCGGCAGUGCUAGUUUGGAUAUAGAAGGAGCAUUUGUUAGCCAAAAUUAAAGCUGGAGCAUAAACUUCAGAGACUUGCAGAUUUCAGAAAACUAGAUCAUUCACCUAGCUUCUUUUGCCUUUCCAUUCUCCAAGCCAUUUUGUUUUUCUUUGGAUAGCUUAGAUAGGUGAAUGAAGCCAAAAUCAUACAAAGGCUAGUUAAAUGAAAGGCUUUUGACAUUUAAUCUGAGUUCUCGGAUCUGGGAAAGAGUCUAAAUUGUUUCCAGAAGAGAAAGAUUCAAGGCCAAGUUCCUUUGUUAAAGCAGAUUCUGACCAAAAGUCUGCAAAAACACCCACUGUGACCCUAUGAAGAUAAUAAAGUAUGGCUAAUCCAUCUCCACUUGCUAUAAUUGUAUAGAGAUGCAUAAUAGUGUUAGUGAUAAAUUGCUGAUCAGUCAAUACUAGAGAGCUAUUAUAAUUAGGAUGGACAGUGGCCUUGGUAGGAAUCAAUGAGUUAGCAUGGCCACUGUUACUUAGAUAGCUUUGGCUAAGUAUUGAGUGGCUCCAAACUUGCUUAGAUGAAGCAUGGAGUUAGGGGUACAGGAUACUGAUCUUUUGGUUCCUGUGCAGGAUCUUUGACCAAUAUGGCCUCUUCUUUGCCUCUUUUUGGAUAAUGUAGCAUUUCUGGGUUUUCCCUUCACGUGUGUCACUUGCAAAUGCUCAGAGACACUGACGGCAGGGAAAUUCGUGUCUUUUCACUAUUAAGUUGUGCCAGAUAAAUAGCCAUAGGAAUGUGUUUCCCUAGUGAGCAUAAUUUUUCCUUCUGUAGCUCAAGAGAGAAGUUAAGAGGCUAUUCCAAAUAUAGUUGAGAGGAUGUCCACACUUGCCUUCAUUCAAAAAUAUACCAAAAAGGAUGAACAGUCAGUGGAUUCCCUUGUUCUUAUUACCAUGAAACCAGAAGGAAAAGAUGUGGCUUUCAUUCAGGAAAUGUUUUCAGUGCCAGUCCUAGGAAAUUGGCUUGGUCAGAGGGAAUAUUUAUUAGUGUUACCACUGAGACAGGGAGUAUACACUUUUGACUCUCUUUCCUGGUUUCUCUCAUUCUGUCAGAUUUUCCACCAUUUUAAUGUCCAGAAGGUUUGUGUUGUGAGUCUCUGUGAGUUGCUUCCACUGUAGCAAUAUAAAAUGUAUCUUCUUGUUUUCAAUUUUAUUGGAAUAUUGAGGAACACUGCAUCAAACUAAGGGGCUAUUUCUUCCCUUCUAAUAAUUCCCCUGGUAAAACCCAACCAUGAUCCCUGUAGGGAUGAAGAGGCCAUUUGCCAAAUGUUGGGACCUGAAAUAGCAUUCCAAGCUGGACCCAGGGGAUCCAAGACCGAAUCUAGCAUUUGAGCUUCUACAGAUUGCUCAGGAACACUAUGGUUCUCUCCUAUACAACUCUACUAUCAACUAGAGUAGAGCCAUCAUCCAGGAAAUUUCAAAGCCAAUGAAUUCACCAUUGAUUAUUAGAAUAAUACUUUGUGUAUAUUUAUAUCAUUGCAUUUACAACAUUGGAUUAUAAUUGUCCUCUAUCUGUAUUUCCCUCAGAAUUAGUUGAAAACAGGUAUUAAGCUUCGUUUGUUUAUGCCUUUGUAUCUAUAUGCAAACAGUAAAUAUUCAUAAAUGUAAAAAUUAGGGGUGGGGAGUAGACAUUGGCUGUAGUGCAUUAUGCUGUCUGUAAUUCAAAAUUCCUCCCAACUAAUGAACCAUCUUAAUAAAGUUUUUAUUGACCAUUUGUUUCUACCUUGUUUUUAAAGAUUAUUCACAAAUGGUACAUUUAAUUGAGUUGGAUCUCUAAAUCUUAAUGUCCUUUAUCUUCCC